GACGAACGCUGGCGGCGUGCUUAACACAUGCAAGUCGAACGAUGAACCCGGAGCUUGCUCCGGCGGAUUAGUGGCGAACGGGUGAGUAACACGUGAGUAACCUGCCCUUGACUCUGGGAUAACUGCGGGAAACUGUAGCUAAUACCGGAUACGACCCUCGGCGGCAUCGCCAGGGGGUGGAAAGAAUUUCGGUCAAGGAUGGACUCGCGGCCUAUCAGCUAGUUGGUGAGGUAACGGCUCACCAAGGCGACGACGGGUAGCCGGCCUGAGAGGGUGACCGGCCACGCUGGGACUGAGACACGGCCCAGACUCCUACGGGAGGCAGCAGUGGGGAAUAUUGCACAAUGGGCGCAAGCCUGAUGCAGCAACGCCGCGUGAGGGAUGACGGCCUUCGGGUUGUAAACCUCUUUUAGUAGGGAAGAAGCGAAAGUGACGGUACCUGCAGAAAAAGCACCGGCUAACUACGUGCCAGCCGCCGCCGCUG
rnacentral:rRNA from 1 species